GACAGCAGCAGCCACGGGAAUACGAAGGGUGCAAGCGUUACUCGGAAUUACUGGGCGUAAAGCGUGCGUAGGUGGUGGUUUAAGUCCGUUGUGAAAGCCCUGGGCUCAACCUGGGAAUUGCAGUGGAUACUGGGUCACUAGAGUGUGGUAGAGGAUAGUGGAAUUUCCGGUGUAGCAGUGAAAUGCGUAGAGAUCGGAAGGAACAUCUGUGGCGAAGGCGACUAUCUGGGCCAACACUGACACUGAGGCACGAAAGCGUGGGGAGCAAACAGGAUUAGAUACCCCCGUAGUCCCUGUCUCUUAUAC
rnacentral:rRNA from 1 species